GUGGGCGUAGUUCAGUUGGUUAGAGCGUCAGAUUGUGGUUCUGAAUGUCGUGGGUUCGAGUCCCACCGUCCACCC
rnacentral:tRNA from 1 species